GUAGUGGUAAUGGACAGAAUUUUGGAGUGUUUGCCCACCCGAGACGCCGCCAGAACUGCUCUGCUCUCAAGGCACUGGAAUGAUGUUUGGUUGCAGCAUAGGCAGCUUGCGUUCGAUUGGGAAUUCUUGCUAACUUUCGAACAGUAACA